rnacentral:rRNA from 1 species
UAGGGAAUCUUCCGCAAUGGACGAAAGUCUGACGGAGCAACGCCGCGUGAGCGAAGAAGGCCUUCGGGUCGUAAAGCUCUGUUGUUAGGGAAGAACAAGUAUCGGAGUAACUGCCGGUACCUUGACGGUACCUAACCAGAAAGCCACGGCUAACUACGUGCCAGCAGCCGCGGUAAUACGUAGGUGGCAAGCGUUGUCCGGAAUUAUUGGGCGUAAAGCGCGCGCAGGCGGUCCUUUAAGUCUGAUGUGAAAGCCCACGGCUCAACCGUGGAGGGUCAUUGGAAACUGGGGGACUUGAGUGCAGAAGAGGAGAGUGGAAUUCCACGUGUAGCGGUGAAAUGCGUAGAGAUGUGGAGGAACACCAGUGGCGAAGGCGACUCUCUGGUCUGUAACUGACGCUGAGGCGCGAAAGCGUGGGGAGCAAACAGGAUUAGAUACCCUGGUAGUCCACGCCGUAAACGAUGAGUGCUAA